rnacentral:rRNA from 1 species
UAAGGAAUAUUGGUCAAUGGACGCAAGUCUGAACCAGCCAUGCCGCGUGAAGGAUGAAGGCCCUCUGGGUUGUAAACUUCUUUUACAGGGGAAGAAAAACAAGAAUUAUUUCUUGCUUGACGGUACCUUGGGAAUAAGCACCGGCUAACUCCGUGCCAGCAGCCGCGGUAAUACGGAGGGUGCAAGCGUUAUCCGGAUUCACUGGGUUUAAAGGGUGCGUAGGUGGGUCUGUAAGUCAGUGGUGAAAUCUCCGGGCUUAACCCGGAAACUGCCAUUGAUACUAUAGGUCUUGAAUUUUCUGGAGGUGAGCGGAAUAUGUCAUGUAGCGGUGAAAUGCUUAGAUAUGACAUAGAACACCAAUUGCGAAGGCAGCUCACUACAGGAAUAUUGACACUGAGGCACGAAAGCGUGGGGAUCAAACAG